rnacentral:lncRNA from 1 species
UUGAACCAACCAUGUGCUGGAAUGUACUGUCCAGGGCUAUAAAUUCAGAAGUUGGGAGAGAACAAUAAUAACAACACAGAGAAGAAUACAAGUGUUGUGUGUGAGAGAAGCCUCCAUUGUUGGAGAGAUUUUGUGAGAGAGAUUGAGAGACAAGAGAGUGACAGUUUGUAAUUUCCUCUAACCCUUUCUCUAUCAAAUUUAGUCGUGUGGACGUAGGCAACAACUUGCUGAACCACCUUAAAAAUUGUGGUGUUCUUUUGUAGUUAAGUUACUGUUCGUUAGACUGUUUCGCAUUGUUCAUAUCGUAUACUGUUCGUAUACGGUUCUGUUUGUAUAGUACUGUUCGCAUAGGAAUUUUGUAUGUAAUUCCUAACAAGUGGUAUCAAAGCUGUGGUUCAAUCGAAUUCGUAAUUUUGCGAAACAUGGAAAACACUUCAACCUCGCGAAUGAUAAGCCUAAACAGGAGCAAUUAUAUCAUAUGGAAAGCUAAGAUGGAAGACUUGCUAUAUUGCAAGGAUUUGGCUCAGCCCAUAGAAAACGAAGGUGUACGACCAGAAAAGAUCAAAGAGGAAGACUGGAAGCUCUUAGAUCGAAAAGCAAUUGGCUAUAUUCGACAAUGGAUUGAUGAUAGUGUAUUUCAUCAUGUGUCUCAAGAGAAGACAGCUUACCAACUUUGGAAAAAGCUAGAAGAUCUCUAUGAGAGGAAGACCGCAGGCAACAAGGUGUUACUAAUUAAACAGUUUGUCAAUAUGAAGUACAGGGAUGGUGCAUCAAUGGCAGAACACCUGAACGAAGUACAAAACAUCAUCAAUCAACUUUCUCAGAUGAAGAUAGUUCUAGAUGAUGAAGUACAUGCUCUACUACUGUUAAGUUCUCUUCCAGAUAGUUGGGAGACCCUGGCAGUGUCACUUAGCAAUUCCACGCAAGAUGGAGUUCUCACAGUUGCGCAAGUUACACAUGCUCUAUUCAAUGAAGAAACCAGAAGAAGCUCUCAAGGGGGAGCCCGCACAGAAGCUCUUGUCACAGAAAAGCGAGGAAGAAGCAAAAGUAGAAGGCCACAGAACAGUGACAACCGAAGUAAGUCUAGAAGUAAGUCUAGACUACGAAAGAAAGACUUAGCAUGUCAUUAUUGUGGCGUAAAGGGCCACUUCAAGUAUGAAUGCAGAAAGCUCAAAAGAGAUGAACAAAACGACACCGCCAACGACAAGCAAGAAAAGGAAACCACCGCCGUAGUCUCUGAUGGUGAACUUAUGGUAAUCUCAGAAUGUACUGAUUCCUGCCUUAGCAUUUCAAGCCAAGACACCGAUUGGGUAGUCGACUCUGCAGCAUCCUUCCAUGUCACACCUCAUCGGAGUUUUUUCACCAACUACAAGUCAGGCAACUUUGGUGAAAUAAAGAUGGGAAACCAUGGAGUUUCAAAGAUUGUGGGCAUUGGUGAUAUACAUGUGGAAACAAAUGUUGGGUACAGUUUGGCACUAAACAAUGUCAGACAUGUUCCAGAUCUUCGGUUGAAUCUAAUUUCAACUGGAAUAUUGGAUGAUGAAGGCUUUCACAACGUCUUUGCCAAUGGGACAUGGAAACUCAGCAGAAAUGCAUUGGUGGUAGCAAGAGGGAGGAAAUGUUGCUCACUCUACAAGACACAAUUUAAGUUAUGUAGAAGUGAACUAAAUGUAGCAGUUGAGGAAUCAUCAUUGAAGUUAUGGCACAAGCGACUAGCUCACAUGAGCGAUAAAGGACUUGCAUUCCUCGUCAAGAAGCAAGCCUUGCCAUUCCUUAAAAGUACCUCUUCCUAUAGGUGCACUCAUUGUUUAAUCGGGAAACAACAUAGAGUUUCGUUUCAGAAAUCUCCCGCUCAUCGAAAGACAGAUAUACUUGAGCUUGUUCACUCAGAUGUGUGUGGACCAAUGAAAGUCAAGUCCCUAGGGGGAGCUUCAUACUUCGUGACAUUUAUCGAUGACGCUUCAAGAAAAGUUUGGGUUUAUACAUUAAAGACAAAAGAUCAGGUCUUUGAUGUGUUCAAGACUUUCCAUGCAAUGGUGGAAAGAGAGAAAGGCAAACCUCUGAAGUGUAUUCGUACAGAUAAUGGGGGAGAGUAUAUUGGAGGCUUCGAGAAGUAUUGCAAGCAGCAUGGUAUUCGUCAUGAACAAACAGUCCCAAAGACUCCACAACACAAUGGAGUAGCCGAGAGAAUGAAUCGUACAAUCGUGGAGAGGAUGAGAUGUCUAUUAUCUCAUGCAAAACUUCCAAGAAGUUACUGGGGUGAAGCACUGCGUACUGCUGUUUAUAUAAUCAACCUAUCACCUUCCAAAGCAUUAGACAAUGGAGUAGCGGAACACUUAUGGUCCGACAGACAUGUUGAUUAUGGGCACUUGAGGGUAUUUGGUUGCAGGGCAUUUGUUCAUGUCCCCAGAGAUGAACGAACAAAGCUUGACGACAAAGCAAGGCAAUGUAUCUUCUUAGGAUAUGCUGAUGAAAAAUUCGGCUACAGGCUACUUGAUCCAGUUACAAAGAAAGUUAUCCGGAGUCGAGAUGUGGUAUUUCUGGAAGAUCAAACCAUUGAAGACUUUGAGAAGGGUGAAAAGCUAGCAAAGUAUGUUGAUGACCUUGUUGACUUGGACCCAGUAGUUCCACCCUUGGAACAAGUGGCAAAUGAGUCAAGUACGGAAGAUCAUGAGUUCGAGAUCCAUGAUAACGUUCGUGUAGAUGAAGAUGAUGAUGCGCAACCACAGGUAGAACAAGAUCAUACUCACCAUGCUCAAGAACAAGCUUAUGCAUUGAGAAGAUCCACCAAAAAUCGUAAAGCUUCAACCAAGUAUCCACCACACGAAUACGUGUUGCUUUCAGAUGGUGGAGAACCUGAGUAUUACCAAGAAGCACUUGAAGACGCUCAGAGUAAAGAAUGGUUGAAGGCUAUGAAAGACGAAAUGAGUUCUUUGCAUAAGAACAAUACUUUUGAUCUCGUUGAGAAACCUCAAGGGAAAAAGAUUCUCAAGAAUAAAUGGGUGUACAAGGUCAAAAGUGAAGAUGUCAACUCACAACCAAGGUACAAAGCUCGCCUUGUUGUGAAAGGUUUUGAUCAAAGGAAAGGCAUAGACUUUGACGAAAUAUUUUCACCUGUGGUAAAAAUAACUUCUAUCCGAGUUGUAUUAGGUAUGGUUGCAAGCAUGAAUCUGGAGAUUGAGCAACUAGACGUAAAAACAGCAUUUCUUCAUGGUGAUCUUGAAGAGGAUGUGUAUAUGACACAACCUGAAGGUUUUGAAGUCAAGGGCAAAGAAGAUAUGGUAUGCAAGCUUAGAAAAAGCUUGUAUGGUUUGAAACAGGCACCCAGACAGUGGUACAGGAAGUUCGAGUCGUUUAUGAUUGAUCAUGGAUACAAGAAAUCGACUGCUGACCAUUGUGUAUUUAUACAAAGGUUCCCUGAUGGUGACUUUAUAAUUCUUCUGCUCUAUGUUGACGACAUGCUGAUCGUAGGCCCAAACAUCAACAAAAUCUCUAAGUUGAAAAAGAACCUAAGUAAGUCAUUUGAUAUGAAAGACUUAUGGCAGGCAAAACAAAUACUUGGCAUGCGCAUUUCUCGUGAUCGGAAGAUGAGGAAACUGUGGUUAUCUCAAGAGGGGUACAUUGAGAAAGUAUUGAAAAGGUUCAAUAUGGAUAAAACUAAGCCAGUUAGCACUCCACUUGCUAGUCACCUCCAGCUGACUAGUGACAAACGCCCCAAGAGCGAGAAAGACAAGAAGGAAAUGUUCAAAGUUCCUUAUGCAUCUGCUGUCGGGAGUUUGAUGUAUGCAAUGAUUUGCACAAGACCAGACAUAGCAUUCGCCGUUGGAAAGGUAAGCCAGUUCUUAUCCAAUCCGGGUAAAGAGCAUUGGGAAGCAGUCAAAUGGAUACUAAGGUAUCUUAGAGGCUCAUCAAAGGCAAGUAUAUGUUUUUGUGGUCAAAAACCUAUAUUAGAAGGGUACACAGAUGCAGAUAUGGCUGGAGAUAUUGACAGCAAGAAGUCUACUUCAGGCUACUUGUUUACCUUCGCAGGGGGAGCAGUUUCAUGGCAAUCCAAGCUGCAGAAAUGUGUGGCUCUAUCUACAACGGAAGCUGAAUACAUAGCCAUCACUGAGGCUUGUAAAGAAAUAUUAUGGUUAACGAGGUUUUUUUGUGAGAUUGGACUGUAAUUCACUGCGACAGCCAAAACGCCAUUCACCUAAGCAAGAAUGCUAGUUUCCACUCGAAGUCUAAACAUAUCCAUGUGCGGUAUCACUGGAUUCGUGAAGUGCUCGAGAGCAAGGAGCUAUUUGUGGAGAAGAUCCAUACUGAUGAUAAUGGAUCUGAUAUGAUGACUAAGGUGUUGCCGAAAAGCAAGCAUGAUGUAUGUUGUGCCAUCGCCGGAUUGGUGGCACGCACCUGCUGAGAAAAGGUUGACGAUGGUACCCCCCUCAUGACUCGGGAGGGGGAGAUUUGUUGGGGUUAUCCCUCCCCAUGAGAGUCAAGAUCCUCUAGAAGGAAAAGACUAUCUAGAGGUGUUACAGUUCCAAGGUUUGAAUUAUGAAGGUUAACAUUAAUGUAGUUGUAUUUUGUUGAACUUAGUGCUAUGGUGGUUGAACCAACCAUGUGCUGGAAUGUACUGUCCAGGGCUAUAAAUUCAGAAGUUGGGAGAGAACAAUAAUAACAACACAGAGAAGAAUACAAGUGUUGUGUGUGAGAGAAGCCUCCAUUGUUGGAGAGAUUUUGUGAGAGAGAUUGAGAGACAAGAGAGUGACAGUUUGUAAUUUCCUCUAACCCUUUCUCUAUCAAAUUUAGUCGUGUGGACGUAGGCAACAACUUGCUGAACCACCUUAAAAAUUGUGGUGUUCUUUUGUAGUUAAGUUACUGUUCGUUAGACUGUUUCGCAUUGUUCAUAUCGUAUACUGUUCGUAUACGGUUCUGUUUGUAUAGUACUAUUU